CCUACGGGGUGCAGCAGUGAGGAAUAUUGGUCAAUGGCCGAGAGGCUGAACCAGCCAAGUCGCGUGAGGGAAGACGGCCCUACGGGUUGUAAACCUCUUUUGUCGGGGAGCAAAGCGAACCACGUGUGGUUCAUUGAGAGUACCCGAAGAAAAAGCAUCGGCUAACUCCGUGCCAGCAGCCGCGGUAAUACGGAGGAUGCGAGCGUUAUCCGGAUUUAUUGGGUUUAAAGGGUGCGCAGGCGGAAGAUCAAGUCAGCGGUAAAAUUGAGAGGCUCAACCUCUUCGAGCCGUUGAAACUGGUUUUCUGGAGUGAGUGAGAAGUAUGCGGAAUGCGUGGUGUAGCGGUGAAAUGCAUAGAUAUCACGCAGAACUCCGAUUGCGAAGGCAGCAUACCGGCGCUCAACUGACGCUCAUGCACGAAAGUGUGGGUAUCGAACAGGAUUAGCGAGUAGUC
rnacentral:rRNA from 1 species